GUUAAAAGCACUUUGAAAAGAGGGUGAAAAGAACCUGAAACCGUCAUGGGGGAAGCGGAUUGCGUUGGAUUGGUGGGCGCUCUGUGUGUUCAGCCCUUUUGGGUGCAUUGGCACGAGUGCUUAUCCGCCGUGGGUUUUCGGGGGUUGAUGUUGAAUCCCUGGGGACUGAGGGCUCCCCUCUUGUAGGGUUGAGGACGGCGGAGCGACGACGCGAUACGACCCGUCUUGAAACACGGACCAAGGAGUCUAGCGCGGGUGCGAGUCAAAGGGUGUAAAAAGCCUGUGGGCGCAGUGAAAGCGACUCGCUUUUUUUUAAAACGAGCAGUUUGGGGCGGCAUAAGAUCGUUGAUCUUAAGACUGACCCGGAGCAUUUGCGCUGGGACCCGAAAGAUGGUGAACUAUGCCGGAGUAGGGCAAAGCCAGAGGAAACUCUGGUGGAGGCUCGUAGCGGUGCUGACGUGCAAAUCGCUCGUCAAACUUGGGUAUAGGGGCGAAAGACUAAUCGAACCAUCUAGUAGCUGGUUCCCUCCGAAGUUUCUCUCAGGAUAGCGGGCCGACUUACAGUUGUUCUGUGC
rnacentral:rRNA from 1 species